AUAUGGUAGUCGAGAGCAUAUAGCAGACGCCUCAAGGAUGUGUAUUCUGAGACAUGAAGGAGGGUAGGCGUCGUCUUCGGUGAAGAAGUGCUGGGCAAACAGAAAUCAACAAAGGAUUCUGCAAAACAGUGUCAGGAUCAGCGGCUCCUGCAGCAUUUUAGAGAGCUCCCCUGGCCUCAGUGUGGAGAAGGGAUUAGAGGCAGGCAACACUGAAGAACUAGUUUGGAUACUGCCACAGUAACCAAGGCAAGAGAAGACGGUGUCUAGACACAGAAUAGAGGCAGUGGCAAUGAAGAGACAGAUGGGCUUGAAAAGCACUUGGAACAAAAAAGACAACUGACUGCUUGUGGUGGGUGUACAGCAUCAGAGGUGACACGUGGCUUCUGGCGUGGACAGUGCCAUUCACACUGCCAGUAGGGAGGGAGCAGGUCUCGGAGGAAGAUGACUUCAGUUUGGGACAUGAUGCAUUUGAGAAAUCUGUGGGACAUCCAACUGGAUGUACCCAGCAGACACUUGGAAAUGUGGCUGUGAAGCUUGGGGAGCAAUCUAAGCUAAAUAUGGCCUUUCAUUGGGCAUAGAACACCAUGGACAGCUUUUAGGAAGCAGAAGAAACAGAGAAAACUGCCCACUUGGACACUUCUGGAUCCAGACUUAGUUGGCAUUCAAGGUGGCAGAGACCAGGGGUCAAGAAACAAAGUUGCAGGUCCUUCUAGUUAUGGCAUGUGGGACGCCGCCUCAGCAUGGCCUGAUGAGCCGUGCCAUGUCCACACCCAGGAUCUGAACUGGCGAAACCCUGGGCCGCCGCAGCGGAGUACGCGAACUCAACCUUUCAACCACAGGGCCGGCC
rnacentral:lncRNA from 1 species